rnacentral:rRNA from 1 species
UACGAAGGGGGCAAGCGUUGUUCGGAAUUACUGGGCGUAAAGGGCGCGUAGGCGGUGCACUAAGUCAGGCGUGAAAGCCCUGGGCUCAACCCGGGAAUUGCGCUUGAUACUGGUGCGCUUGAAUCCAGGAGAGGUUGGUGGAAUUCCCAGUGUAGAGGUGAAAUUCGUAGAUAUUCGCAAGAACACCAGUGGCGAAGGCGGCUCACUGGCCCGAUACUGACGCUGAGGCACGAAAGCGUGGGGAGCAAACAGG